GUGGCUUUAGAAAGGAGUUUAAUGUUAGCUUUAUAAUCAACUGGAGAUUUUUUGUUGGUAGAGUUACACGAACAUAAUCAUAUAAUCUUUUAUUUAUUUAUUGUAUUAUAUGAUACGUAACAUAAAAUAUAAAGAUUUGGUGUGUAAUAUUUGCUUUCCCUUGGCCUUGUGCUCUAUCGGAGGGGCACUGGCCAUAUACCGUCUAUU